rnacentral:lncRNA from 1 species
UGGUGAUUCCACCUAACCUGGGUCAGUGACCCCCGAGACCCCACGUGGACCACCUUAGGACAAGAUUUUGGUGUCUGCCUCUUCUCCUCUGGGAGGGGGGGUUCUUUUUGUGCCCGGCUGUUGGGGGAGAACGUGUGACCAGGCCACGUGAACUGAUGCAGAUUUAAAAGUCCGUCUUACCAGCAAGAAUAGACAGCUCCAUAGAAAGCGCUUCCAUUCUCCCGGCCAACCUUUGCCUCCCUGUAAUGUGUCCUCACUGGCCUGGCUUAGUCAUCUGGAGACACACACAGGCUUUGCACACUCUCCUCCAGCUGUUCGGAGUGGCCUGUGCCCUCCUGACCUUGUAGGUUUGCUGUGAAUCUCUUGUGGUUUCUGUGGGUGCCCCAGGCACCCGCACCUGCAACCUCUGCUUCCGGCCACAGCCGCCUUUCCUUACAAGUAUG